rnacentral:rRNA from 1 species
AGAGACAGCAGUCGCCACGGUAAUACGUAGGUGGCAAGCGUUGUCCGGAAUUAUUGGGCGUAAAGCGCGCGCAGGUGGUUUAAUAAGUCUGAUGUGAAAGCCCACGGCUCAACCGUGGAGGUCAUUGGAAACUGUUAAACUUGAGUGCAGGAGAGAAAAGUGGAAUUCCUAGUGUAGCGGUGAAAUACGUAGAGAUUAGGAGGAACACCAGUGGCGAAGGCGGCUUUUUGGCCUGUAACUGACACUGAGGCGCGAAAGCGUGGGGAGCAAACAGGAUUAGAUACCCGCGUAGUCCCUGUCUCUUAUACC